GCCCAGGUGGCGAAAUUGGCAGACGCACCAGAUUUAGGUUCUGGCGCCGCGAGGCGUGGGGGUUCGAGUCCCUUCCUGGGCA
rnacentral:tRNA from 1 species